CAGCAGCCCGGUAAUACCGGUGGCUCGAGUGGUGGCCGCUAUUAUUGGGUCUAAAGGGUCCGUAGCCGGCUUGAUAAGUUACCUGGAAAAUCCGGUGGCCUAACCAUUGGGCGGCCAGGUGAUACUAUCAGGCUUGGGACUAGGAGAGACCAGAGGUACUCAUGAGGUAGGGGUGAAUUCCUGUAAUCUUAUGAGGACCACCAGUGGCGAAGGCGUCUGGUUAGAAUAGGUCCGACGGUGAUGGACGAAGGCUGGGGGCGCAAACCGGAUUAGAUACCCGGGUAGUCCCAGCAGUAAACGAUGCCAGCUAUGUGUUGCUGAAACCAUGGGUUUCAGCAGUGCCGAAGGGAAGCCGUGAAGCUGGCCACCUGGGAAGUACGGCCGCAAGGCUGAAACUUAAAGGAAUUGGCGGG
rnacentral:rRNA from 1 species